rnacentral:rRNA from 1 species
GACGAACGCUGACGGCGUGCUUUAGACAUGCAAGUCGAACGAGAAAGCCCUUCGGGGUUAGUAAAGUGGCGAACGGGUGAGUAACACGUGGGCAAUCUGCCCUUCGUUGGGGGACAACCGGGGGAAACCCCGGCUAAUACCCCGUAAGCUUGUCGGGUCGCAUGGCCUGACAAGGAGAGGUAGCUUCGGCCAUCCGGCGGAGGAGGAGCCCGCGGUACAUUAGCUAGUUGGUGAGGUAAAGGCCCACCAAGGCGACGAUGUAUAGCUGGUCUGAGAGGAUGAUCAGCCACACUGGGACUGAGACACGGCCCAGACUCCUACGGGAGGCAGCAGUCGGGAAUCUUGCACAAUGGGCGAAAGCCUGAUGCAGCAACGCCGUGUGAGCGACGAAGGCCCUAGGGUCGUAAAGCUCUGUUGUUAGGGACGAAGGGCGAAGGGUUAAUAGCCCUUAGCCUGACGGUACCUUUCGAGGAAGCCCCGGCUAACUACGUGCCAGCAGCCGCAGUAACAC